rnacentral:rRNA from 1 species
UACGUAGGGUGCAAGCGUUGUCCGGAAUUAUUGGGCGUAAAGAGCUCGUAGGCGGCUCGUUGCGUCGGCUGUGAAAACCCGCAGCUCAACUGUGGGCUUGCAGCUGAUACGGGCAGACUGGAGUACUGCAGGGGGAGACUGGAAUUCCUGGUGUAGCGGUGGAAUGCGCAGAUAUCAGGAGGAACACCGGUGGCGAAGGCGGGUCUCUGGGCAGUAACUGACGCUGAGGAGCGAAAGCGUGGGGAGCGAACAGG